GCCCCAGCUAGGCCCGCGAACCGAAGAGCAGGACACCUCUACCCGCCUGCUGGGGUACCCGUGAAGGG
rnacentral:sRNA from 1 species